CCAGUUCAAAUUUUUAUGCAGUUUAUUUCUUUCACUUUUAAAUUGAAAUUUAAUUUAAUUGUGUCUCAUUUAUGAUAAAUGUACAUUUAUUCUUAUGUGAAAAGAAAAUGCAUCGACUUUAGUGAGACAUUUGGAAGUUACUACAGACUUUCAGAUUAGCAUAGGUGUAUGUGUUUAAGAAGUGGUGGGAGUUUUAACAAUUAUGUCUUCAGCAGCAGUAUCAAACAGUUUUAGGUCUUUCACUAUUUGUCUAAAAUUGUUUUGCAGAUAAGUUCAAUCCAUGAAAUUACCAUAUAGACCAGUCUUCUAAAAUAUAAUCUUUGGACCAGCAGAAUAUAGAUAAAAACGGAUUUCUUUUGCAAGCGUAUUUGAAAACUCACUCUGUUGGGCAUUGGGAACACAGAAACGAAAAGACCUGGUCUCAUCCAGGAAGCAUGAGUUUAGUUGGAAGACACGUGUGAAAACAAUUGCAGGACUACAACAGUAGUAGAUGAGGGGACCAGCAGGAGUGGGAGCAGAGAAGCCCCUGACACUGAGGGAAGCAGGGAGCAGGAAGCUGACUUCGGUCUGACAUUGGAAGAAUGAGUAGGACUUGACCAGGAAAACAAGCACAGAGAAGGCAUCUGGUCGACCCGUGCAUAGGCCAGGGAGUGGAAAUGCGCUGUCUGCUGGAAAACUAAUGGGCACUAAGGCCAGCUGGCAAGCAAGCUUGUAAAUAGGAAUUAGAUUUUGAAGGGGCUCGUGUACUGUGCAGAGGAGUUUAGAUCUUCUCCUAGCAGCACUGAGAGCAUUGGAGCAUUCUAAGCAAGAGAAUGGUAUUAUCACUUAGCCUGUUAGAGAAAUAACUUUCAUGGAAGUUUUUGCAGGCUAUAAUAUAGAGGUCAAUAUUAGAAACUAGGCACAGUAAGGAAGCUGUAAUUAUCUUGGUAAGAAGUGAUGAGUUUCUGAAUGAAGGUAGUAGAAAUGGGAGUGGAGAAGAAAAUACUACUUAAAAAUUGUUUUUUCUGUUUAUCAAUAUAUGCUUAUUAAAAAAUUCAAAUAGUACAUAAAUAUACAAAGAAAAAAAGAAAAAACACCCACUUCAUCUAACCAUCCAGAGAUACUCACCAUUGGCAUUUUGGUAAACCUCCUUACAGACUUGUAUGUGAAAUGCAUGUGUGUGUGUAUAUAUAUAUGGUUAUAUACAGAAAUAGUUUUUCAUAAAUAGGAUUAUAUCAUACCAACUAGACUGUAGCUGUUUCUAAUCAACGUAUUUAAAGAGCCUUCCAAUCAGUUUUGCUAAAUACACAUUUUUAUCAGGGUUCUAAUAGAAGACAGAUGGCACCCUUGAAAUAGGACCGUUGAAACUUGUUUUAUUUAUAGAGAAACUACUUAGGAAGUUGUGGUGUAGGAGAACCGUAAGGGAUGGUACAGCAUCUCGGGGGUUCUUAGCAGCCCAGCUGUUAAUCACUCCCAGGCCAAAUGGGGUGACGGCCUGGAGUAUUCCAGAACUUGGAGAUGAUGAGUAGAAUCAGCCUCUUAAGAGCAGGUUGACUUUUGCACAAAUGUCACAGGAAAAUAGGUGUCCUGGCUUCAGUUUCCUUUCUGUCCUUGAUCUGCUGAUGAGGCUUCCCAUCGUCUGAACCCAAGUGGAGGUGAACAUAAUGGACACACACUGGCCCCUGGGCGUGGAUGAGGAGAAGAGGAAGGAGUGUGAACCUGCAGGGUUAGACAGAAGAUACCUGACACAGAGAUCUCUUUGUUUAUUGUUGCACGGUUCUGUGGAACACUCUGCAGUCAGCACUUUACUGGCAGCCAGUUAGUCUGUCUUCACUUUUUGGCUGCAAAAUUCCAAAGUGUUGAGCGCAGUUCAGGGUAGCUUCCCUGUUCUGUUAACUGAACUGCGGGACAUUGCAACGGGCUAAGAACUAUGAUUGGACAGAAAUUAUCAGUCUAUUCAUUUAUCUCCCAGCCUACAAAAUGGUUUUUUUU